rnacentral:rRNA from 1 species
UACAGAGGCCUCGAGCGUUAGGCGGAAUCACUGGGCUUAAAGCGUGUGUAGGCGGACCCCUGAGUGCCUUGUGAAAUCCCACGGCUCAACCGUGGAACUGCUGGGUAUACUGGGUGCCUUGGGUCAUCUAGGGGCUGCCGGAACAAAUGGUGGAGCGGUGAAAUGCGUAGAUAUCAUUUGGAACGCCAACGGCGAAAGCAGGCAGCUGGGGGAUGCACCGACGCUGAGACACGAAAGCCAGGGGAGCGAACGGG